UUGGACAUCCCAUCGCUUUUGUGUUUUCUACUUGUUAGAAGCAGGUCCUUCGGUCCAGCCCACGCUCCAGCAAAGAAGAUUCCACAGGGACACAGAGGCAGAGACAUCAGAGCUCGCUCUCUCCACCAUGUGAAGACACAGCAAGAAGGCGGCUGUCUACAAGCCAGGAAGGGAGCUCUCACCAGACCCCGACCAUGCUGGCACCCUGAUCUUGGACUUCCAGCCUCCAGGAAGAGGAAGUGUGGACAUGGAGAGACGCCAGGGAUGUGUGUGCUCGGGGAGACCCUGUGAGGACCCAGCAAGAAGGCAGCAUGUGCAGGCAAGGAGAGAGGCCUCAGGAGAGACCAGACCCCUGACACCUCGACCUUGGACUUUCAGCCUCCAGAACUGAGCACGAGUGGGGUGGGGCCUUCAGACGACCCAGGCUGUUUCCCACGAGGGGGAUCUGCAGGGUGAGGGGAACGAACCCACGAGAAGCAGCAGAGACUGGGCCUGUGAGCCCCUCCCAGGCCCGGCAUCCUGGGGCCCCGCUUGGCCUGCCUCAGGCUGGGGCCGCCACCUUCACCCCAAGCUCACGGAGUGGGGAAGCAGCUCAGACCCUUCCUGGCACAGAUGUCUGCUUCCGUGGAUCGGACCCUGUGGAAAGGACCCCGCUGGCCCGGACCCACCGAAGAAGAGCUCAGGCCCGGCCUUGGAGGUGGGCCAGCGCCAGUGAAACCUGUACCGAGAAGAAGAAGCAAGACAGCAAAGUGCCGCUCAGCACAGCAUCCAGGGAGUCAGCCCAGAGGUGGGACAGGGUGCCCCCUCCCCUUGCUGACUCCCGGCCUGCGCUCUGUCCUCUGGGCUCCAUGUCUCAGGGACACCCUGGAGAAGGUGCAGCCAGGCAGCUCCGUGAGUGGCCGCCGAGCAUUACCAGUGGUGCCCAGGCCUGAAAGCCCCGUCCCUCCUCCUUAAUGAGGACAUGGACCUGAGCAUCCUUCCCGCCUCCUGGUAUCACCCUUGAGCUUGUUGCCAAAUCUGGCUCCCUGUGCACCUAUGCCGAAUAACAAUACGGAGACAGAGAAUUGGAAGAUAAGAAAUAGAGAGGCUUUUUAUUUUCUUUGCCAGGCAAAGGGAAGACACGGUAGGCUAACACCUCGAGAA